AUUAUCGAUACCAGUCCUUGUCAUUUCUGCACUUUUCAUGGUGAUUUCGGCAAUCACUCUGGUGCAGAUUGUGGUUCAGCGCAAGAAGAUGGCAGCAGAGGAAAAGAACAUAUGGCCAGAUCAUCAGAAACAUUGCCGGCUUCCUAUCCAAGAAGAAAAUGAACACGCAGAGUCUGCCUUGGUUAAAUCUGGACAACCAAGCAGUUUGACUAGCCCUAUGGAUAGUUUAGAAUGUGACUCGAUUAUGUGUUAAGCAUCACAUAUUUGGUAAGGAAUGGAUAAAAGAAGUAUUGAUGCCAACCAGAAUCGUUUAACUGUAUAUGGAUCUAGAACAGCGGAAGAACAUAUUCUAGAAUUAUACCACAUAAAGAUUUUGCAUGAAAAGAAACUAUAUUAUCAAAGCAUCAAAAAUUAUUACACUGAGAACUGCAAAUGUCACAUGAAACACUAUUAUGUGCUUUUUUUCCAUAAAAGUACCUCAGUGGAUGCCAAACUCAAAUAUCAUUUGGGUGAUGGUAAUCCCAAACAUCAUAAAAGUCAUCCAAAAACAAGAACCUUUGGUGUAAUAUAAAGUUUUUGCAUUUGAACACUGUCAGACCUCAUGCCACAUAUGAACUUUGCUGCUCUUCUUUUUAAUGGAGUUUCUUUCCUUUACGAUUUAAGGAAUUAUGUUACAGCGACCCAGGACUUUCUAGCAGGAUUAGAAAACGUUUUUUGUUCUUGGACUUUUGUUAAAACAAAGACAAACAGGCCCAUUUCCAGGUCUAGUUGAAAUGAUAUUUGUUGCCUUUCCUACCUCAAGAAUAGUAUUGAUUUAGCAGAAGAAAAUGUUGAGCCAUAGUUCUCAAUUUUUGACCUCAGUAUAAGGGAUAAAGGCCCAAAAUCAAGAAUAUUUUUAAAUAUUCAUACUAUUAAUUUGAAAAGGUUGCUAGCGUAAAAUGAGUUACAUUAACAAUCCUCUUCUGAAGCAAAGACAGUUUGUAUGUGUAAUUUCUGUGAUUUACUGUUUGAAAUUGUUCUUGUUUUGUCACAAAAUCGUGUAUAUUAGCAGCAUGGAGCACAACUGUUAGGUAAAAGAAGGGAUGUACCUAAAAUCAGAGGCUGAUAACAGGCAUGUGUUAAAGAAGAGAGUUAGUAUCUAAAAUUAGCCCCAUUAUUGUAAGCUCUGAUAUCUGCAGUUUUAUUUACAAGAUUAUUUCCUUCUGCAGAUGCAUUAUCUGUAACAUUCUGAAAGACUUUCCCUUGCUAGUUUUAGUCCUUUGUGUUAUAUUUCAGACCAGAGGGAUACAUGUGUAGGAGUUCUCUACAUUGUUAACAAUGUAGCAGAAUAGAGAAGUGUGACAGAAACAAGCCUGCAGUUGUAAUGUGACCUAGUUGCAAUAGAGAAAGACAUUUUUGUAACAUUAGCAGUGGUUAUUUCAUUUAUUUUCUGAAGUACAAAUUAACAAUCAAUAGCCUGCUAAUUAUAUUUAUAUUCCAUAUUGGAAGUGCACACAACAUACUAGUUCUGUUGCUUUUUAUAGAGCUUCCAGAGACUUAUAAAGGUUUAAUUUACAUUGUGACAGCUUGGACAGAUUAAGUCAUGCAUGUGUAUGACAGGUGACAUGUCACAAUAUUGUGAACUGGCCAGUUUAAGAGAAAUGCUCACAUCAGCUGCUCAUCAGAGUUUGUAUUGCAAAACUGACAAUAACUAUUACGGGUACUAUACUCAAAAGAGUAACAAACGCUCACACCAAAUUAUCAAUGAUGGCACAGUAAGCAACCUAAUGUGUUACCCUUCAUUAUCCCACAUGCAUAAAAGUGUCUCUGAGAAUCAGGAAUAAGCAGCCAAAAUGUACAACAGCUGUUAAUAACUUUAAGUAGCAAACUCACAUUGUGAUUAAAAGUGCUGAUCUUGCUUAUGAAAUAGCUUGCUGAUGUACAGUAUUAUGUAACAUUGUUAACAAUUGGAUGUUUUACAUAAAGAUCUUAACUCGUUGAUACUGUAUGUGACAAGAGGUGUACUGUAUUUACUGUAUGGGGAGGUUUAGGACAACUCACCUAUAAUGAACCUCCCGCACAGAAGUCAGCUUAACUGAAAGACCGAUCACUAUUAACUUAAAUUGUGCUUCUGAAGGCUCUUGUAAAUUUCCAGUUCUUGAUUUCACAAACCAUCCAUCUGUAUUUUUGAUUCUAACAUUUCUAAAUGCAAUGUAUUGUUAGAUACUAUAGAAAUAGCAUUGGUCUACUGUCACUAAAUACUGCAGCUGCUAUGCUGACUAUGACCAGUUUCAGUAAAGUUUCACAUACAGAGGUGUGGCUACUUCUGUCUGUUGUUACUGUUACACGCUGUACGCAUUUCUGUUUUAUAAAGAGUUUACCCAUGA